rnacentral:sRNA from 1 species
UGUCAAUAUUUGUUUUUAUUAGGUUUUGGAAUCGUAUGAUGAUAAAAUGCAGAGCGAAAGACACAUUUUACAACACCACCGUUUGUUAUUCUGACAGACACAAUUCGCAGCAAGCGCAACACAGCCCCAGAUCAAAGGUUAUUAAAUUCAAUGGAAAACGUCUUGUAAAGGCCAAAAAUGAUUGAAAAUGCUAUCAGUUGUUUAUUUUCCUUUGUUUUGCAAUGAUUUCCCAAAAUAUACCAACAGCGACAGCGGUAAACUUGCAGUGUUAAAUAAAUCAAAAUUCGUUGUAAAACAAGCAUAAAAAUAGA